CGUGAAGUUGGAAUCGCUAGUAAUCGCGGAUCAGCAUGCCGCGGUGAAUACGUUCCCGGGCCUUGUACACACCGCCCGUCGCACCAUGAGAGUUUGUAACACCCAAAGCCGGUGGGGUAACCUUUUGGAGCCAGCCGUCUAAGGUGGGACAGAUGAUUGGGGUGAAGUCGUAACAAGGUAAC
rnacentral:rRNA from 1 species